AGACUUGACCAGUUAAUCUUAAUCCUCCCACUGACUUCACUAAGUCAGAUUAAAGAAGAUUAGGCAUAACUGGUCUAGUCAAGCAAUCAUAAAUCCUUCCACUGACUUCACCAAGUCAUGAAGAGGACUCAAGAUAAGUUGAACUAGGGGUAUCUAAAUCAAUCAUACUGAUUUUCUAGUUAGCAUGGGUCAACCUCAAUUAUUAAGUGAUCUAAUCAAAAUAUAAUUCACUAUAUUGAUCAGAUAAGUG
rnacentral:lncRNA from 1 species